rnacentral:rRNA from 1 species
UGAGUAAUGUCUGGGAAACUGCCUGAUGGAGGGGGAUAACUACUGGAAACGGUAGCUAAUACCGCAUAACGUCGCAAGACCAAAGAGGGGGACCUUCGGGCCUCUUGCCAUCGGAUGUGCCCAGAUGGGAUUAGCUAGUAGGUGGGGUAACGGCUCACCUAGGCGACGAUCCCUAGCUGGUCUGAGAGGAUGACCAGCCACACUGGAACUGAGACACGGUCCAGACUCCUACGGGAGGGCAGCAUG